GGAUGGCAACUGAAUCGAUUAAGCAUCCCCCGGAGAACUAAUCGCGAAAGAAUCGGGCUUCGAAGACUGCAAGUUAUCGCGAACAAGAUUUUCUGGUUUCGAAAUUCGCGAAAGGAUAAUCGCAAGUGAAAUCAGUUUGUUGUUGUUAUUAUUAUCCAGUUAUUAUGUUGCAGAGACCCCGUAGAAGGUGUGAGGGCACCGCCAUGGGUGUCAUCGUUCUUGAUCUUCGUCCCGGCCUUGGAAUUGGUCCCUUUUCUCUAGGAAUGCCUAUAUGUGAAGCGUUUGCACAGAUAGAGCACCAACCUAACAUCUACGAUGUUGUUCAUGUGAAGUACUUUGAUGAGGAUCCACUAAAGUUGGAUAUUGUUAUAAGCUUUCCAGACCAUGGCUUUCAUCUUCGUUUUGAUCCAUGGUCUCAGAGGCUUCGACUUAUUGAAAUUUUUGAUGUCAAACGGCUUCAAAUGCGCUAUGCAACAUCACUGAUAGGAGGUCCGUCAACUCCAGCUACUUUCGUAGCUGUAUAUGCCGUUUUUGGGCCAACAUUUCCUGGAAUUUAUGACAAAGAUAGAGGUGUUUAUACUCUCUUCUAUCCGGGGCUAUCAUUUGCUUUUCCCAUUCCCUCUCAGUAUACCGACUGCUGCCAUAAUGGGGAAGCGGAAUUGCCCUUGGAGUUUCCGGAUGGCACUACUCCUGUAACAUGUCGUGUAUGCAUAUACGACAGUUCGACAGAUAGUAAAGUUGGUGUAGGAUCAUUGAUGAACAAGGCUUCUGCUCCUCCGCUUCCUGCUGGUAGCCUCUACAUGGAAGAAGUCCAUGUUAAGCUAGGGGAGGAAUUAUGGUUUACUGUAGGUGGCCAGCAUAUCCCUUUUGGUGCUUCGCCACAGGAUGUGUGGACAGAAUUAGGCCGACCAGAUGGAAUUCAUCAAAAACAGGUCGACCAAAUGGUAAUUCACUCUGCUUCAGACCCACGACCAAAAACAACCCUAUGUGGUGAUUACUUCUACAACUAUUUUGGUCGAGGAUUUGACAUAUUGUUUGACGGCCAGACCCACAAGAUCAAAAAGUUUGUUCUACAUACAAAUUAUCCGGGGCAUGCCGACUUCAAUUCAUACAUGAAGUGCAAUUUCAUUAUCCAUGCUACAGAAUUUGAUGGUGCAUUUCAUCAAGAUAUGAAUUCCUCAAAAAGUAGGAUUACGCCCGGGUCAAAGUGGGACCAAGUGAAGGAGAUCCUCGGAGAUUGUGGCCGAGCUGCUAUUCAAACACAAGGCUCUACAAGCAAUCCAUUUGGCUCCACUUUUGUCUAUGGGUACCAGAAUGUUGCUUUUGAGGUCAUGAAGAAUGGCUAUAUUGCUACCGUGACUCUUUUCCAAUCAUACUAAGUUCCAUACGGACUUAUGGUAUGUGACUUCCGUACAUCCUUUUUUAAGAACGAAGAAUGCGAUGGAUGUACAGUCGUAGGCAGCAACAGCAAAUACCAACAAAAAACGAGCAUCAUGCGUUGAAACUUGUACAGUAUUUGUUUUAUGGCAAUUUCCGUCCCUCCGAAAAAGAAAUGGGAAGAAGUGAUGAUUGUAUAGGGUGUUUCAUACACCAGCUUUGUUGUACUUGAUGAUAGAUGUUAACGAAAACAAAGUUGCUUCGACUUAUAUCAGUGUUAACCUUGUAGGACAUGCAUAUUG